rnacentral:rRNA from 1 species
CCUACGGGUGGCUGCAGUGGGGAAUAUUGCACAAUGGGGGAAACCCUGAUGCAGCGACGCCGCGUGGAGGAAGAAGGUCUUCGGAUUGUAAACUCCUGUUGUUGAGGAAGAUAAUGACGGUACUCAACAAGGAAGUGACGGCUAACUACGUGCCAGCAGCCGCGGUAAAACGUAGGUCACAAGCGUUGUCCGGAAUUACUGGGUGUAAAGGGAGCGCAGGCGGGAAGACAAGUUGGAAGUGAAAUCCAUGGGCUCAACCCAUGAACUGCUUUCAAAACUGUUUUUCUUGAGUAGUGCAGAGGUAGGCGGAAUUCCCGGUGUAGCGGUGGAAUGCGUAGAUAUCGGGAGGAACACCAGUGGCGAAGGCGGCCUGCUGGGCUCUAACUGACGCUGAGGCUCGAAAGUAUGGGGAGCAAACAGGAUUAGAUACCCUUGUAGUC